rnacentral:rRNA from 1 species
GAUGAACGCUGGCGGCGUGCCUAAUACAUGCAAGUCGAGCGAACAGACGAGGAGCUUGCUCCUCUGACGUUAGCGGCGGACGGGUGAGUAACACGUGGAUAACCUACCUAUAAGACUGGGAUAACUUCGGGAAACCGGAGCUAAUACCGGAUAACAUGUUGAACCGCAUGGUUCAACAGUGAAAGACGGUCUUGCUGUCACUUAUAGAUGGAUCCGCGCCGCAUUAGCAAGUUGGUAAGGUAACGGCUUACCAAGGCAACGAUGCGUAGCCGACCUGAGAGGGUGAUCGGCCACACUGGAACUGAGACACGGUCCAGACUCCUACGGGAGGCAGCAGUAGGGAAUCUUCCGCAAUGGGCGAAAGCCUGACGGAGCAACGCCGCGUGAGUGAAGAAGGUCUUCGGAUCGUAAAACUCUGUUAUUAGGGAAGAACAAAUGUGUAAGUAACUAUGCACGUCUUGACGGUACCUAAUCAGAAAGCCACGGCUAACUACGUG